rnacentral:rRNA from 1 species
UAAAAGCUACCCCGGGGAUAACAGAGUAGUCGCACCUGAGCGUCCACAGCGACGGUGCGGUUCGCUACCUCAACAUAUCGGGGUCCUCUGAGAGUGAUUUCAGAGUGCUGUUUCCCAAAUAAUAAACUCAAAUUUUAUUUGAGAAAAAAGUCAACUCAUAACGGUGAAACCCUAAUUCUUUGAACCGCCUUGAUUUCGGGUAAGUUUCGGAUUAUACUGAAAUUUAAUUGAAAAUAAGGUUAGAAAAGGGCAAUACCGUGGGAAGUUUAUCGGAAAAACAAAAAUCGUUAAUCGAAGGAUGUUUGUUGGGUGAUGGAUAUAUGCGUUGUAAAACCAAUGCACAUCUCCAAAUAACUCACAGCAUCAAACAGAAGGAUUAUGUCGAUUGGAAAUAUGAGAAUUUGUCGGAGUUUAUUUUAACUCCACCAAAAUCUUACAAAGGUAAUGGAACAAGAAUAGGUUACCGCUUCUUUACUAGAAGUUUGCCUGUUUUUACAAAUUACUUUCUUCGUUUUUAUAAAAAACAAAAGAUAAUUCCAAAAGAUCUUAAUUUAACUGCUUUAACUUUAGCUGUUUGGUACAUGGACGACGGCUCAAAAAGCGGUCGAAGCUGUUACUUAAACACGCAAAAAUUUACUUCGGUAGAUCAAGAAUUCUUGAUCAGAUUAUUGCAGAAAAAAUACAAUCUUCAGGCACGUCGAGACAAAGAUAAAAAAUAUUUUCGUCUUCGGUUUACUUUUGAAGAUUCGCAAAAGUUUGUUCGAAUUGUCGAACCAUAUAUUUUGCCAAGUAUGCGGUAUAAAAUUCUGAUAUAACCCCGUAUCGACUGAUUUCAGUUUCGCCACUGGCGAGACGAGAAUGAGAUGGAACGUUUUCCAUCAUACGUUGACCUCUCUUUUAACGAAGAGAUGAAGGUAUAGUCAAGCUAAUCAGUAAUGAUUGGAUUUAAGAGCGAUGUCGGCUCAGCGCAUCCUGGGGCUGAAGAAGGUCCCAAGGGUUGGUCUGUUCGCCCAUUAAAGCGCUACGUGAGCUGGGUUCAAACCGUUUAGAAACUAAGAAAUUGGUUUUUGAACCGUUUGAACCCUUAAAGACACAAAUUACGGCGACGAAGUAUAGGAAUAUAUUUCGUGAAAGUUAACUUAUUUCGGUGAAGUCCAGAACGGAUAAUACCGAGGGAAGAUAGAAGAAAUAUCACCCGUAGAGACUAAACGUUAACCAUCCAGAACGGAUGAAGUUAUAGUCCAAUUCACAUAGGAAUAUGUGUCAACCGAAUGCGUAAGACAGGUUGGUCUCUAUCCGCUGUCAGCGUGGGAUUUUUGAGGGAGUUUGUCUCCAGUACGAGAGGACCGAGAUGAGCCAUUCCCUGGUGUGCCAGUUGUUGUCGUCAGACGCAUUGCUGGGUAGCCACAAUGGUAUUGGAUAAUCGCUGAAUGCAUCUAAGCGAGAAGCCAUUCCUAAGAUGAGAAAUCCAUGUUUCGCAAGAAACGAAAGAACCGUAGUAGACCACUACGUUGAUAGGCAGAGAGUGUAAGCGGCGCAAGUCGUUUAGCUUAUCUGUACUAAUGUUCGAAGAGUAAAUUAAAAAU